UGUGUGUGUGUGUGUCUGUGUGUGUGUGUCUGUGUGCGCGUGCACACGCACACACACACACACACACACACACA
rnacentral:miRNA from 1 species